UAGAGAAAUAGAAGACUACAUAGCUAUUACUAAGCUGUACUCAGAAGAGAUAUAAAAGGCCACAAAUAUGUUACCCAAAAAAUGUAUGGGUUUGUAGUAACAUCUGCUGAUACAGAUAUGUGUAACAUGGUAAAAAUUAGAAUUACUAUCACAAGAUAUAAUACUAUCUUUCAACUAGUCCGAAAGAGUACCAGAAGAAUCAACUCGGACCUCAAAUAAGGCAUUUGAAGGAAUUCCAUUAGAUAUGUUCUCUCCUUCCACAUGUUGAACCCUUGGUUUUUUCGGGAAUUGAAUAUACUUUCAAAGGCAGUAGAUUGUGUAAGGAGCUCCUCAAGACUUUCUGGUCAGACUUUAGCCCCUUCAUUUUCACUCGAAUGCAGAGAGCAUUUCGAAUUAUAUUAAAAUUGUUGUCCUGCCAGAUCACCAAGAAAAAACAAAACAAACAAACAAACAAACACAAAAUUUCCAUAAAGAUCACUCUUUUAGCUAAAACACAUAUGGCUUAUCUUAUCAGAUCAAAACUAAACCCAUUACACACACACCAUGAAAACACAAAAAUUCCACAAAGAUCAGUGUUUAAGCCAAAGACACAUAUAAAUUAUCUUAUCAGAUGAAUCACAGAUAAAAAAUCAAACCAAUUAACAAAAUCUUUCUACUUAAACACACACACACACACACCAAGAAAUCACAGAAACUCCAUAAAGAUCAUCUUGCCAAAACCUAGAUAGCUUAUCUUUUCAGAUCAAUCACAAAUCAAAAACUAAACCCGUUAAAAAGAAUUUCUACUAAAACACACACACACACACGCACCAAGAAAAAAUAAAACAACAAAAAUAAGAGUGCAAUUAAAAGCUGCAAUAAAAGCAAAAAAGGGAUGAAAUUCAACUCAUUAUUUUGAUUGUAUUGGAAGUUGAAAAUUGGGGGAAAUUGGAAGAGAUUGAAGGGUUAAAGCUCAAGGCUCAAGAACGUGAUGUUCUAUGAAUGUAAAGCUAAAGGAGUGACAGAUUAAUCAUAUCCGUUUGAAAAUCCAUCAAGAAGCUGCAAAACCAGGAAUGUUUCAAUGUGCCACUGGAAUGUAAACUCCAAAUGAGUAAGGGAAGAAGCUCCCAAUUAUCAACAGUGUGCCAAAACAGGAUGGAAUGAAGCUCCUAACACCAGUUGAGUAGGAGGAAUGCAUCAGUGACAUGAAUGUUCCUAGACAAAUGCGUCUAUAUUUUAAUAUAUAUAGAUCCACUUUGAAGUGACAUCGCAAGUGCAAUUUAACGGGAGAGUUCUUAAGUAGCAACAAUGUAUGAGUACAAGCUUGCAUGUGGGAGGAUAUGAUAAUUGGGUAAAUAAAGUAAUAUCAUUUAUA